AUUAUUGGGUUUAAAGGGAGCGUAGGCCGGAGAUUAAGCGUGUUGUGAAAUGUAGAUGCUCAACAUCUGAACUGCAGCGCGAACUGGUUUCCUUGAGUACGCACAAAGUGGGCGGAAUUCGUGGUGUAGCGGUGAAAUGCUUAGAUAUCACGAAGAACUCCGAUUGCGAAGGCAGCUCACUGGAGCGCAACUGACGCUGAAGCUCGAAAGUGCGGGUAUCGAACAGGAUUAGAUACCCUGGUAGUCCGCACGGUAAACGAUGGAUGCCCGCUGUUGGUCUGAAUAGGUCAGCGGCCAAGCGAAAGCAUUAAGCAUCCCACCUGGGGAGUACGCCGGCAACGGUGAAACUCAAAGGAAUUGACGGGGGCCCGCACAAGCGGAGGAACAUGUGGUUUAAUUCGAUGAUACACGAGGAACCUUACCCGGGCUUGAAUUGCACAGGAAGGAUUUGGAGACAAUGACGCCCUUCGGGGCUUCUGUGAAGGUGCUGCAUGG
rnacentral:rRNA from 1 species